rnacentral:misc_RNA from 1 species
GAUGAGAACGCAGCAAAAUGCGAUAAGUAAUGUGAAUUGCAGAAUUCAGUGAAUCAUCGAAUCUUUGAACGCACAUUGCGCCCGCUGGUAUUCCGGCGGGCAUGCCUGUUCGAGCGUCAUUUCAACCCUCAAGCCCCCGGGUUUGGUGUUGGGGAUCGGCUCUGCCCUUCUGGGCGGUGCCGCCCCCGAAAUACAUUGGCGGUCUCGCUGCAGCCUCCAUUGCGUAGUAGCUAACACCUCGCAACUGGAACGCGGCGCGGCCAUGCCGUAAAACCCCAACUUCUGAAUGUUGACCUCGGAUCAGGUAGGAAUACCCGCUGAACUUAAGCAUAUCAAUAAGCGGAGGA